GCAUGCGCAGCUACCAUGCAGUCGAGGGGUACAUUAGAGUGCUUGCAUUUUGCUGACGACCGGCGCACGGGUGCGUAACGCGUAUACAAUCUACCUCUAACUAAGGGAUAGCCCAGAGAAAUUUGGAUUAAUACCUUAUGGUAUCAUAAAUCAGCAUUGGUUAAUGUUUAAAGCUCCGGCGGUUAAAGAUGGGUAUGCGGUCUAUUAGUUUGUUGGUGAGGAAACGGCUCACCAAGACUACGAUAGAUAGGGGGUCUGAGAGGAUGAUCCCCCACAAUGGUACUGAGACACGGACCAGACUCCUACGGGAGGCAGCAGUGAGGAAUAUUGGACAAUGGAGGCAACUCUGAUCCAGCCAUGCCGCGUGAAGGAUGAAUGCCCUCUGGGUUGUAAACUUCUUUUAUAUGGGAAUAAACCCUCGGACGUGUCCGAGGCUGAAUGUACCAUACUAAUAAGCACCGGCUAACUCCGUGCCAGCAGCCGCGGUAAUACGGAGGGUGCAAGCGUUAUCCGGAUUUAUUGGGUUUAAAGGGUCCGUAGGUGGGAUUGUAAGUCAGUGGUGAAAUCUUUCGGCUCAACCGAAAAACUGCCAUUGAUACUGCAAUUCUUGAGUUAUUAUGAAGUAGUUAGAAUAUGUAGUGUAGCGGUGAAAUGCAUAGAUAUUACAUAGAAUACCGAUUGCGAAGGCAGAUUACUAAUAAUGUACUGACACUGAUGGACGAAAGCGUGGGGAGCGAACAGGAUUAGAUACCCUGGUAGUCCACGCCGUAAACGAUGGUUACUAGCUGUUCGGACUUCGGUUUGAGUGGCUAAGCGAAAGUGAUAAGUAACCCACCUGGGGAGUACGUUCGCAAGAAUGAAACUCAAAGGAAUUGACGGGGGCCCGCACAAGCGGUGGAGCAUGUGGUUUAAUUCGAUAAUACGCGAGGAACCUUACCAGGGCUUAAAUGUAUUUUGACAGGUUUAGAGAUAGACUUUCCUUCGGGCAAUUUACAAGGUGCUGCAUGGUUGUCGUCAGCUCGUGCCGUGAGGUGUCAGGUUAAGUCCUAUAACGAGCGCAACCCCUGUUGUUAGCUGCCAUUGAGUAAUGUCGGGAACUCUAACAAGACUGCCGGUGCAAACCGUGAGGAAGGUGGGGAUGACGUCAAAUCAUCACGGCCCUUACGUCCUGGGCUACACACGUGCUACAAUGGUAGGUACAAUGAGCAGCCACCCCGCGAGGGGGAGCGAAUCUAUAAAACCGGUCACAGUUCGGAUCGGAGUCUGCAACUCGACUCCGUGAAGCUGGAAUCGCUAGUAAUCGGAUAUCAGCCAUGAUCCGGUGAAUACGUUCCCGGGCCUUGUACACACCGCCCGUCAAGCCAUGGAAGCUGGGGGUACCUGAAGUCCGUCACCGCAAGGACGGCAUAGGUAAACUGUACUGGCUAGUCGUACAGGUUACCGAUAA
rnacentral:rRNA from 1 species